UACGGAGGGUGCAAGCGUUAUUCGGAUUCACUGGGUUUAAAGGGUGCGUAGGUGGCCCAGUAAGUCAGUGGUGAAAUCUCCGGGCUUAACCCGGAAACUGCCAUUGAUACUAUUUGUCUUGAAUACUGUGGAGGUCAGCGGAAUAUGUCAUGUAGCGGUGAAAUGCGUAGAGAUUGGGAAGAACACCAGUGGCGAAGGCGGCUAUCUGGACGGUUUCUGACACUAAGACGCGAAAGCGUGGGGAGCAAACAGG
rnacentral:rRNA from 1 species